AGCGAACGCUGGCGGCAUGCCUAACACAUGCAAGUCGCACGGGGGGGCUUCGGCCUCCCAGUGGCGGACGGGUGAGGAACGCGUAGUGACCUGUCGAGGGGUGGGGGAUAACCGCGGGAAACUGCGGCUAAUACCGCAUGACGCCGCGGCGUGACAGCCGGGGCCAAAGGCGAAAGCCGCCCGCCGAGGGGCCUGCGUCCGAUUAGCUGGUUGGCGGGGUAGCGGCCCACCAAGGCGUCGAUCGGUAGCUGGUCUGAGAGGGUGAUCAGCCACACCGGGACUGAGACACGGCCCGGACUCCUACGGGAGGCAGCAGUGGGGAAUAUUGGACAAUGGGCGCAAGCCUGAUCCAGCAAUGCCGCGUGGGUGAAGAAGGUCUUCGGAUUGUAAAGCCCUUUCGGCGGGGACGAUGGUGACGGUACCCGCAGAAGAAGCCCCGGCUAACUUCGUG
rnacentral:rRNA from 1 species